UCCAUAAUUUCAGACAAAGGAUUAUUCAGAAAGGCUUCUGUAGCAAAUUAAUGAGCCAGUCUCCUGAAAGAGAUACAUAAUGCUGGAUGAGAAGGCUGUGGAUUUCUAAAGGGGUUCCUUGCCAGACCCAUGAUGUUAACGUGUUGCCAAGGAACUCUACUUAAGUUGAGGAGAAAUGGAGAACUUGAGCAGAUAUCUAAGGAAACAUGAAUUGGGCUGAUUCCAAGGAAAAAUAUCUCCAGGGCUGCUCGUUUUCCAGAUGAUAAAAAUAUUCUAAAUUUCUCCAAACUGAGUUUUUAUGGAAAAAUGCCCAGCCAGACAGGGAAGAGGGCUCAAGCAGGGAAUUAGUCUUGAAUCGUUGUGCAGCUGCAAGAGAGCUAGUACCUUCAUGGAACUUUUAUUUAUCCAUUCCCAAGGGAAGGCAAUCAGUUUUCAGGAGAUUCCUGUAUUAUAGGCCGAAUGCAAUGAAGUAGUUAGCUUGAACUCUACCCGUGUGGAUCUGGUUGUUUGAGUUUUGACAUUUUGGGUCCUUCGGGAUGAUCGACUUGACUUGAACAGAGACCCAAAGGCCUCUAUCCUUAACCCUCUUUCUCUUUUAUUGGCUUAGGACUAUUUAGAUCUGGCCGCUUCCACUCCUUCGGACUCUCUGCUUUACGAUGAUGGACUCUCGGAAGAAGAGAUGCCCCUUGUGGAUUGUAAUAAUGUUCCCCUCCCUCGAACACUUCCUUCCACAUGGAUUGAAAACAAACUCUAUGGCAUGUCAUACCCGAACUGGCCCGAAGAGAGCCCUGUUCCACUUGCCAGAAGCGAUGGGCCUAAGGCUGUGUUUUCAAGAUAUGCAAAUGAUAGUGUUUAUGCUAACUGGAUGGUUUCACCCUCAGCGACCAAAUUUAUGGACAGAGUUUGAUAGUUAACAAUUACUUGGUGGAAGGUAACCGAUGCAGGAAGGAGCCCCCCCUCCCCGUGUCCAAAGAGUUGACUCCCCCCCCCCACACACAGCUCGUUCUUUGAGUAGCAACAACUGGUUGAAGCAAACAGGAAUGUCAAGGAUGGGGAAAACGUUCCCUUUACUUUUGAAAUUUACUUAAAUUUCAAUCUGCUUUUUGGUUUCUAAAAUGUGUCCUCCCGGUUUCCCUUCUCUGAUCGUGAACACUUUGGUCCCAACUCUCUAAAGUCCUAAACGUGGCAUUAAAAGAGGGGUGAAACAGACUAAGAUGGUUGCCACGAUGACAUGGUCCAAAGGCUGCCAUUUUGAGUCCCCCUGAUCUCCUCUCUGGCAGAUGCCUGUAAUUAUUUUAGACUUUUUUUCUUUUCUUUUUUGCCUCAAAGUGUUCUCCAAGAAUUUAGAUUUGAUGCAACCGCUGGAUUUCUUGUUCCGAAUAAUGUCACAUUCCUGAAACGGCUGUUUUAUGGAGGCGGGGAGCGAAAGCCUUUGGUUUCACGACUUCUCUUCCCUGUGGUCGUUGUUAAGAAAAAGGCAAAUUAAAGCAAGAAGCACAAAGUGGGAAAGCACUUGUCUAUUUUUCCCCCCCAAAAAUCCGCAUCAGCUUAAUCUCACGUUAAGCAUUCGCAUUGAAUUGGUAGUAGGAAAUUGAUUUGGGAUAACGGAACAAAAAACGAAAUUUUGGAAACCUGUAGUAAUGUACUGUUCUGUGGUUAUGGGGAAAAUAAGUGUUCUUUUUUAAAAAAAAGAAAAGAAAAACAAAAAAAAUCAGGGUUAAAUUGUCCUUACCGUUAGCACAAUAGAAAACUUUGAUAUCUUAGAAACUAGAAUAGAGACUUAAUCUUAGAAUACCCACCCAAUAUAAUUUGUUUUCCAUCACAUUCCUUCUGUGGUUAUCUUAACGUGGGCUCCAGAUGUUUUGAAACAAGCAAACUGACACAAAAAGAACCAGUUUAAUUUUAUUCCAUAAUUUUUACUUCUUUCAUCAAAAAUUUUAUUUCCGUCACCCACAUCCGGGAUGGAUUCCCUCUUAACCAUGGCGAAUAAACUUCAAAUGCAUCAUUUGUAUCUCCAAGUCUUUCCCUUCCUUAGACCAAAUUUCUGCCUUCCACUUUUAGUUUCAUUUAAACUGUUACGGUUCUCUGUCUUUAGUUAAUAUUAACAAGGAUUUUUCAAAUCUCACUGUUGAAACACCAGGAUAGAUACUCUCAGAGACAAUCUUGUGGGUCAUGAAGAAUUGACACUGACUUGAUGGUACAGCAUCAUUCUCUUCCUAUUCUAUAGUCCGAACCUCGUUAAAGCAGAAAUCUUGGUUACGUUAACCACAGUUCAUUAGUAACCACAAAUUGUUCAGUUGUGAUGAAGACACAUAGUUGGAGAGGGGAAGGUGGCAUUCCCAGUAACUGUGAAAACCAAAGGUAACCAAAAAUGAGUGUUGGUUCUGCUAUUAGCCCCAACAGACAUUUUAAUUUAUAUGAUUCCUGUUUGUGUGUGAAAUGUGUGAAUACGGUACACACUCCUUGUCUCAUAUUUAAUCUUUAUUCUCUCUGUGUUUGUGUUUUUUCCUCCUCCCGUCCGUGUAGCAAAAAAAAAAUGUCUAAGGUUGUUGUCUUUUUCCAAAGAGUUAAAGCUAAAACCAGAUGUGAUGUUUUCAAUUUUGGCACAGUGUUUUUGGAAGCGGGCUGACUUUUACAGAGCUUUCUUGCAACGCAGAAAGUGCAUUACAUGAUUGUGUUUGUUUUUUUUUGUUCGUCGUUUCAACAAUUUCUAAAGAAUGCUGGAAUGUUAAUCCAACAUUUUUAUCCUUUUGGGAUACUCCUGCAUAUUGAAAAUAUACCAAAGCAUUGCUCAUCCCAUCUCUUAGGUUUCAGCUGAGUAAUUUUGUGCCUCUCCUGUAUGUGCUCCAAUUAUUUCAGAAAUCAUGAGUCAGAUUGCCAAAAACACAAUCACACCAGAGGGCUGAACACCUCCUUAGGAUAACUUGGUUUCCAAAUAAGCUACUUUUCAGAUGAAAGAACAGGAGGACAAUUUCUGUUCUGUAAAUUAUGAUAUUAUGCAUUUGUGUUUACAAGGAAAAAAAUGUAUCUGUGUACACAGAUGUCUAACAGCUGUCAGUAUCCUGUAACAAGCAGUCAUCUCAAAUAAUAAUAAUAAUAAAAUAUGUAAAUGUUG